AUGGCUACUGUUGACAGCUUCUACAGCUAGUACAGGGAAAUCGCCAGGUCUUGCAGUUGCUACAUGGAGGCAUUGGCCUUGGUGGGGGCCUGGUACACAGCUCCGAAGAGCAUCACAGUCAUCUGUGACUUCUACAGCCUGGUUAGGCUGCACUUCAUCCCUCGCCUGGGGAGUAGGCCCGACCUGAUCAAGCAGUAUGGAAGAUGGGCGGUCGUCAGUGGGGCCACAGAUGGCAAUGGGAAGGCCUAUGCUGAGGAGUUAGCAAGCCAUGGACUCAACAUCAUCCUGAUCAGCCAGGAAGAGGAGAAGCUGCAGGCUGAGGCCAAGCACAUAGCUGACACCUACAGGGUGGAGACACUUAUCCUGGUGGCAGACUUAAGCAGAGGCCAGAUUUAUGCUCCAAUCCGAGAAGCCCUGAGAGACAGAGACAUUGGCAUCCUGGUGAAUGACUGACUUGGGUGCGUUCUACCCCUAUCCUCAGUAUUUAGGCCAGGUUCCCGAGGACACACUCUGGGACAUUGUGAACGUGAACAUUGCAGCUGCGAGCGUGAUGGUGCACACAGUGUUUCCAGGGAUGGUGGAGAGAAAGAAGGGCGCCAUUGUCACAGUGUCUUCUGGCUCCUGCUGCAAGCCCACCCCACAGCUGGCUGCCUUUUCUGCAUCCAAGGCCUAUCUGGACCACUUCAGCCGAGCCAUGCAGUAUGAGUACUCCUCUAAAGGGAUCUUUGUGCAGAGUCUGAUCCCCUUCUACGUGACCAGCAGUGUGACUUUGCCUGGCAGCUUCCUGCACAGAUGCCCAUGGCUAGCGUCUUCGCCAAGAGUAUGCACAGCAUGCAGUGUCGACCCUGGGCAUUUCAAAAAGGACCACAGGCUACUGGUCCAAUUCUAUUCAGUUCCUCUUCGCACAGUAUAUGCCUGAGUGGCUCUGGGUGUGGGGUGCAAACCUCCUCAACCACUCCUUACAAAAAGAGGCCUUAUCCUGCCAAGCCUGA